rnacentral:misc_RNA from 1 species
UGGAAGACAGAUGAUUUAUUUACAAUAGCAGCAGUUAAAAAGCAUACUACUUCUCCCAUAUUCACAUUAGCUAUAUUUACACUAAAAAAUCAGCUUGAUAUGUCAAGUUUUCCCCACAACAACAGAAGUUGAUCAGUUCUAAAGUUUAAAGAUGACAUUGAUUUGUGUAUUUGAGCCCGAAACCAAAGAUCACUGCCACGAAAAACUUGAUUAUUUGUCUCUCGCAAAUGAAAAUGCUGACCUGCUGCCACUACUUUUCGAUAUUGAUGCAGAACUAGCAUAUCUCCUCAAAUACUAAAAGAUAGACCCUGCUUCAGAAAAUUCCUAAUGCGUAGAUAACGACCAGCUGCAGUAUAUUCAAAAAUUCUGAAGAGAAGAGAGCCAUUGCUCCAUAUACUUCUUACCCUCAGCAGGAUACCCAUUUGAGAGAUUCUCAAUGGCACUUAAAAACUGAUUGUUUGGCUCUCCUAUCUCUCUACAAUCAUGCCUGUAGCAAGGAACCA